GAUGAAGAACGUAGCGAAAUGCGAUAAGUAAUGUGAAUUGCAGAAUUCAGUGAAUCAUCGAAUCUUUGAACGCACAUUGCGCCCUUUGGUAUUCCGAAGGGCAUGCCUGUUCGAGCGUCAUUUCACCACUCAAGCCUGGCUUGGUAUUGGGCGCCGCGGUCGAUCCGCGCGCCUCAAAGUCUCCGGCUGAGCUGUCCGUCUCUAAGCGUUGUGAUUUCAUUAAUCGCUUCGGAUUGCGGGCGGCCGCGGCCGUUAAAUCUUUCACAAGGUUGACCUCGGAUCAGGUAGGGAUACCCGCUGAACUUAAGCAUAUCAAUAAGCGGAGGA
rnacentral:misc_RNA from 1 species